rnacentral:sRNA from 1 species
GCCAGGCAUGGUGGCACACGCCUGUAAUACCAGUGGCUUGGGAGGCUGAGGCAGGAGGAUCACAAGUUCAAAGCCAGCCUCAGCAAAAGCGAGGUACUAAGCAACUCAGUGAGACCCUGUCUCUA